rnacentral:rRNA from 1 species
AGCGAACGCUGGCGGCAGGCCUAACACAUGCAAGUCGAACGAAGCCUUCGGGCUUAGUGGCGGACGGGUGAGUAACGCGUGGGAACGUACCUUUUGGUUCGGAAUAACGCAGAGAAAUUUGCGCUAAUACCGAAUGAGCCCUUCGGGGGAAAGAUUUAUCGCCGAAAGAUCGGCCCGCGUUGGAUUAGGUAGUUGGUGUGGUAAAGGCGCACCAAGCCUACGAUCCAUAGCUGGUCUGAGAGGAUGAUCAGCCACACUGGGACUGAGACACGGCCCAGACUCCUACGGGAGGCAGCAGUGGGGAAUCUUGCGCAAUGGGCGAAAGCCUGACGCAGCCAUGCCGCGUGAAUGAUGAAGGUCUUAGGAUUGUAAAAUUCUUUUACCAGGGACGAUAAUGACGGUACCUGGAGAAAAAGCCCCGGCUAACUUCGUGCCAGCCGCCGCGGUAACAC